GUAUCUGAAGUCGAUUUACUAGAUCUAUUCACUGCGGUGUCUUCAUUGCGGUGAGUCGACAGCUGAUGUUCCCCUGUCAACUCCGCUUGCGCCUCUUGCUCCGAUGGAGUA